rnacentral:rRNA from 1 species
CAGUCGUACCGGCGGAUAAUCAGCCUUUCGAGUGCGAUUCUGUGGAGUGCGAGGAGCUAAACACCUUCAUGCCUGCAUAUUCGUGCUCUUGGGUGUACUUGCUCGUGUGGUUGGUUAACAUCAAUUUCGGACGCCAUAAAAUGGCUGGAGGAAUGUAGCUUCGAUCUGUAUUGAAGUGUUAUAGCCUCUGGUAAAUGGUGGUGAACGAAACUGAGGAUUGCAACGAAUACCCUUUGGGCUAUCCGUCUGACCUCU